AUUGAACGCUGGCGGCAGGCUUAACACAUGCAAGUCGAGCGGGGGAAGGUAGCUUGCUACCGGACCUAGCGGCGGACGGGUGAGUAAUGCUUAGGAAUCUGCCUAUUAGUGGGGGACAACAUCUCGAAAGGGAUGCUAAUACCGCAUACGUCCUACGGGAGAAAGCAGGGGAUCUUCGGACCUUGCGCUAAUAGAUGAGCCUAAGUCGGAUUAGCUAGUUGGUGGGGUAAAGGCCUACCAAGGCGACGAUCUGUAGCGGGUCUGAGAGGAUGAUCCGCCACACUGGGACUGAGACACGGCCCAGACUCCUACGGGAGGCAGCAGUGGGGAAUAUUGGACAAUGGGGGGAACCCUGAUCCAGCCAUGCCGCGUGUGUGAAGAAGGCCUUAUGGUUGUAAAGCACUUUAAGCGAGGAGGAGGCUACUUUAGUUAAUACCUAGAGAUAGUGGACGUUACUCGCAGAAUAAGCACCGGCUAACUCUGUGCCAGCAGCCGCGGUAAUACAGAGGGUGCGAGCGUUAAUCGGAUUUACUGGGCGUAAAGCGUGCGUAGGCGGCUUAUUAAGUCGGAUGUGAAAUCCCCGAGCUUAACUUGGGAAUUGCAUUCGAUACUGGUGAGCUAGAGUAUGGGAGAGGAUGGUAGAAUUCCAGGUGUAGCGGUGAAAUGCGUA
rnacentral:rRNA from 1 species